GUGGGCAAUCAAAAUAAAUUUGUUAUUAAAAGCCACCCUGAGUGAAUCCCAACACUGCCCUGCAUAAAAUAUAUCCUUAAUUCAUAUUUCCUAUUUGAUGUCUGACUCCCCCACCUUCACUAAAAUAUGGGACCGUCUAGUUGCAGGAAAACAAACAAGCUCUGGACUCCCACUGAUUGUACAUUAUGGCAAGUUAUAUAAUUUUUAUUAUAUACUACAAUGUAAUAAUAACAAAGUGCACAGUAAAUGUAAUGUGCUU